rnacentral:rRNA from 1 species
AUUGAACGCUGGCGGCAGGCCUAACACAUGCGAGUCGGGCGGAUGAAGGGAGCUUGCUCCUGGAUUCAGCGGCGGACGGGUGAGUAAUGCCUAGGAAUCUGCCUGGUAGUGGGGGAUAACGUCCGGAAACGGGCGCUAAUACCGCAUACGUCCUGAGGGAGAAAGUGGGGGAUCUUCGGACCUCACGCUAUCAGAUGAGCCUAGGUCGGAUUAGCUAGUUGGUGGGGUAAAGGCCUACCAAGGCGACGAUCCGUAACUGGUCUGAGAGGAUGAUCAGUCACACUGGAACUGAGACACGGUCCAGACUCCUACGGGAGGCAGCAGUGGGGAAUAUUGGACAAUGGGCGAAAGCCUGAUCCAGCCAUGCCGCGUGUGUGAAGAAGGUCUUCGGAUUGUAAAGCACUUUAAGUUGGGAGGAAGGGCAGUAAGUUAAUACCUUGCUGUUUUGACGUUACCAACAGAAUAAGCACCGGCUAACUUCGUG